UGGGGAAUUUUGGACAAUGGGCGAAAGCCUGAUCCAGCAAUGCCGCGUGUGUGAAGAAGGCCUUCGGGUUGUAAAGCACUUUUGUCCGGAAAGAAAUCCUUGGCUCUAAUACAGUCGGGGGAUGACGGUACCGGAAGAAUAAGCACCGGCUAACUACGUGCCAGCAGCCGCGGUAAUACGUAGGGUGCAAGCGUUAAUCGGAAUUACUGGGCGUAAAGCGUGCGCAGGCGGUUUGCUAAGACCGAUGUGAAAUCCCCGGGCUCAACCUGGGAACUGCAUUGGUGACUGGCAGGCUAGAGUAUGGCAGAGGGGGGUAGAAUUCCACGUGUAGCAGUGAAAUGCGUAGAGAUGUGGAGGAAUACCGAUGGCGAAGGCAGCCCCCUGGGCCAAUACUGACGCUCAUGCACGAAAGCGUGGGGAGCAAACAGGAUUAGAUACCCUGGUAGUCCACGCCCUAAACGAUGUCAACUAGUUGUUGGGGAUUCAUUCCUUAGUAACGUAGCUAACGCGUGAAGUUGACCGCCUGGGGAGUACGGUCGCAAGAUUAAAACUCAAAUGGAAUUGACGGGGU
rnacentral:rRNA from 1 species